rnacentral:misc_RNA from 1 species
AAUAGAAAGUAAUAGUAUGUAUGGAGUUGAGUGGAGAAAUAAUUGUAUCAAUGAAGAAUCAUUAGUGUAUGAUGAACCAAGAACAAUGUAUCAUGAACAAGAGGUUACAAUAAGGCAAAAUGAAGCAUAUGGACAAAGCAACAAACUGCACCUUCUACAAUAACAUAAUCAUGUGUGUACUAUUAUUUUUAAUCAAAAUAAUGUAG